rnacentral:rRNA from 1 species
GUGGCAGCCGCCGCGGUAAUACGGAGGGUGCAAGCGUUAUCCGGAUUCAUUGGGUUUAAAGGGUGCGCAGGCGGAUUAUUAAGUUAGUGGUGAAAUCCCGGGGCUCAACCUCGGAACUGCCAUUAAUACUGGUAAUCUGGAAUACGGUUGAAGUGGGCGGAAUGUAGCAUGUAGCGGUGAAAUGCAUAGAGAUGCUACAGAACACCGAUCGCGAAGGCAGCUCACUAAGCCGAUAUUGACGCUCAGGCACGAAAGCGUGGGGAGCGAACAGGAUUAGAUACCCUGGUAGUCCACGCCGUAAACGAUGAUAACUCGUUGUUGGCGACACACAGUCAGCGACUAAGCGAAAGCGAUAAGUUAUCCACCUGGGGGAGUACGAUCGCAAGGUUGAAACUUAAAUGAAUUGACGG